rnacentral:rRNA from 1 species
UACGUAGGGGGCAAGCGUUGUCCGGAAUUAUUGGGCGUAAAGCGCGCGCAGGCGGUCGAUUAAGUUUGGUGUUUAAGGCUGAGGCUCAACCUCAGUUCGCGCUGAAAACUGGUUGACUUGAGUACAGAAGAGGAAAGUGGAAUUCCACGUGUAGCGGUGAAAUGCGUAGAUAUGUGGAGGAACACCAGUGGCGAAGGCGACUUUCUGGGCUGUAACUGACGCUGAGGCGCGAAAGCGUGGGUAGCAAACAGG